GGACCCCCAUGAUGUCCAGCACUGGGCUCUGAUCUUCUGUGAAGACACAGUGCUCCCCCAGGACCUUUGACACCUGGGGAUCUGAGGGGCCC
ensembl:snoRNA